UACGAAGGGGGCUAGCGUUGCUCGGAAUUACUGGGCGUAAAGGGCGCGUAGGCGGAUAAUCAAGUUGGGGGUGAAAGCCCGGGGCUUAACCUCGGAAUUGCCCUCAAAACUGGUUACCUUGAGUAUGGUAGAGGUAAGUGGAACUCCGAGUGUAGAGGUGAAAUUCGUAGAUAUUCGGAAGAACACCAGUGGCGAAGGCGACUUACUGGACCAUUACUGACGCUGAGGCGCGAAAGCGUGGGGAGCAAACAGG
rnacentral:rRNA from 1 species